GAACAUAUGACUGAGUGGUUUAAAGUGAAACACUUGAGUUGUUUUAUUCUAUUUUUUGGAAUCACAAGUUCGAAUCUUGUUAUGUUCG
rnacentral:tRNA from 1 species